rnacentral:lncRNA from 1 species
AGAGAGUGUCUCGUAGUAUUUGCUUGAAAAUGGGUAAGGGAUACAGACUAGUAAGAAUAAAAGCAAGAAGGAGCAGCUGUGAGAUGGAGAGGCAGCAGAUGCUUGUUUACACAAGCAGCUAAUUCAAAAUGAAAAAAAUAAAAGGAAGGAAGAAAAUUCUGAGCCUAGUGAAAUAAUUGUUGUCUUGGAGAUUAUGGGAGAUCUGUGCAGACUGAGCCCCACCUGAGCCUGUCAUUAAUCUGUUCUGUGGUGGGUGUGUAUGUGAAAGGAAAAGUGCUCCCCUGCAAAUUGUGUACCUGGAAGGGCGUCAGUACGUCUCCAUCUUCAAACAAGCUGGGAACAUGAGACACUUGACAGAGAUUGUCCCUUUGAAGUCAAUACUAAAUUGAGGCCUGUCUGCAAUAUUGAAUUAGCAUUCCAAAGGAAAGAGCUCUUACAGAAAUAUCUAGAGAAACAGUGCUUUUGCUGAAAUGUUCUGUGUUAGUCUCUUGCUACAUCAGGACCAAGAUGGCAAUGUUGCUGCUGUAAAACCAGUGAGAAUUAUCUACUUUUAAAUGUAUUGGUUUUAGUCUUACCCAUGCUUUGCACCAGAGUACAAAAAGAGAUAUUUGUAUUCUUCAGCAUUGAAAUAUUAAAGGAAAAAAAAAUUAAAAAUUACUUACUUUGGUAAUUCCCAAAGAGUUUCGAUCUCAGCAUAAGAAAUCUUAGGGAAAUUAACAUACUUAUUCUUACCUAAAAUCUCAACACUAUAUUUUAACAAAGAUUCCCAAAUAUUCACAAGAUACUUGUGAAGUCACAAGUAAUUGUGACUUCAAGUCACUGCUCACAACAGAUAACAGUGAAGCAGGAAUGGAGAUAGGUUGGUGGUUUUGAUUUUGCCAGACUCCUUUGGUGGGAGAGAAGCAAAGGAGAGAGAAGAUGAUAUAAACCUUCAGACUCUG